CCUACGGGAGGCAGCAGUGAGGAAUAUUGGUCAAUGGGCGAGAGCCUGAACCAGCCAAGUCGCGUGAAGGAUGACGGCCCUACGGGUUGUAAACUUCUUUUGUCAGGGAGCAAUUGGGUCCACGCGUGGGCUUAGCGAGAGUACCUGAAGAAAAAGCAUCGGCUAACUCCGUGCCAGCAGCCGCGGUAAUACGUAGGGGGCAAGCGUUAUCCGGAUUUACUGGGUGUAAAGGGAGCGUAGACGGAAUUGCAAGUCUGAUGUGAAAAUCCGGGGCCCAACCCCGGAACUGCAUUGGAAACUGUAUUUCUAGAGUGUCAGAGAGGCAAGUGGAAUUCCUAGUGUAGCGGUGAAAUGCGUAGAUAUUAGGAGGAACACCAGUGGCGAAGGCGGCUUACUGGACUGUAACUGACGUUGAGGCUCGAAAGCGUGGGGAGCAAACAGGAUUAGAUACCCGGGUAGUC
rnacentral:rRNA from 1 species